rnacentral:sRNA from 1 species
AACCGUGGAGCCAGGGCAAGGGAGAGACAGAAGGAGCAAGUGACCCAGGGAGACAAACACUUGGAGAUACUUGGGGCUGAGUUUGAGCAAGACUCCCUAACCUGUGUCUGGACAAGUCUGAUGUCCUGUGUGGCCCAAGAAGAACUGACCCCGUGUCUGGAGCUCCCACCGUUAUUGCAUCCCUGCUGUGGCUCACCUGCUGCUGUCUCCAGGAGCCCCUGAGAAGAUUUGCUUCCUCUCCCCUGCUAAGCUCCAGGUCCUGAGAUUGAAUUAGGGGCUGGAGCUCACUGCACUCCAGCAGUCAUGGGACCCAGGAUAGGGCCAGCGGGUGAGGUACCCCAGGUACCAGACAAGGAAACCAAAGCCACAAUGGGCACAGAAAACACACCUGGAGGCAAAGCCAGCCGAGACCCUCAGGAUGUGCGACCAAGUGUGUUCCAUAACAUCAAGGUACCUCUCAGGGCCUGGCAGGGGCCUCCGAGUCUAGAAGAGCAGGCUCUGACACGUGCUGGCGGUGUAAUGCCAAGGAAGACUUUCUCUGAGCCUCGGUUUCCUCAUCUAUAGAAUAUGUGGCUGUGAGGAUCAAAG